GGCCAGUUAGCUCAGUUGAUUAGAGUGUGGUGCUGCUAACACCAACGUCAAGGGUUCAAAUUCCCUUACUGGCCA